rnacentral:rRNA from 1 species
CGUGAAAGCUCUUCGGAGUGAGUAGAGUGGCGGACGGGUGAGUAACGCGUAGGAAUCUACCCAGUAGUGGGGGACAACCUGGUGAAAACCAGGCUAAUACCGCAUACGCCCUAUGGGGGAAAGCGGGGGACCUUCGGGCCUCGCGCUAUUGGAUGAGCCUGCGUAAGAUUAGCUAGUUGGUGGGGUAAAGGCCUACCAAGGCGACGAUCUUUAGCUGGUCUGAGAGGAUGAUCAGCCACACUGGAACUGAGACACGGUCCAGACUCCUACGGGAGGCAGCAGUGGGGAAUAUUGCGCAAUGGGCGAAAGCCUGACGCAGCCAUGCCGCGUGUGUGAAGAAGGCCUUCGGGUUGUAAAGCACUUUCAGCGGGGAGGAAAAGCUGAGCGUUAAUAGCGUUCAGCCGUGACGUUACCCGCAGAAGAAGCACCGGCUAAUUCAGUGCCAGCAGCCGCGGUAAUACUGAAGGUGCAAGCGUUAAUCGGAAUUACUGGGCGUAAAGCGCGCGUAGGCGGCUUGGUCAGUUGGGUGUGAAAUCCCAGAGCUCAACUCUGGAACGGCCUUCAAUACUUCCAGUCUAGAGUCCGUAAGGGGGUGGUGGAAUUCCGAGUGUAGA